rnacentral:rRNA from 1 species
AGCGAACGCUGGCGGCAGGCCUGACACAUGCAAGUCGAACGAACUCUUCGGAGUUAGUGGCGGACGGGUGAGUAACACGUGGGAACGUGCCUUUUGGUUCGGAAUAACUCAGGGAAACUUGUGCUAAUACCGAAUGUGCCCUUCGGGGGAAAGAUUUAUCGCCAUUAGAGCGGCCCGCGUCUGAUUAGCUAGUUGGUGAGGUAACGGCUCACCAAGGCGACGAUCAGUAGCUGGUCUGAGAGGAUGACCAGCCACACUGGGACUGAGACACGGCCCAGACUCCUACGGGAGGCAGCAGUGGGGAAUCUUGCGCAAUGGGCGAAAGCCUGACGCAGCCAUGCCGCGUGAAUGAUGAAGGUCUUAGGAUUGUAAAAUUCUUUCACCGGGGACGAUAAUGACGGUACCCGGAGAAGAAGCCCCGGCUAACUUCGUG